rnacentral:rRNA from 1 species
AUUGAACGCUGGCGGCAUGCUUUACACAUGCAAGUCGAACGGUAACAGGCCGCAAGGUGCUGACGAGUGGCGAACGGGUGAGUAAUGCAUCGGAACGUGCCCAGUCGUGGGGGAUAACGCAGCGAAAGCUGCGCUAAUACCGCAUACGAUCUAUGGAGGAAAGCGGGGGACCGUAAGGCCUCGCGCGAUUGGAGCGGCCGAUGUCAGAUUAGGUAGUUGGUGGGGUAAAGGCUCACCAAGCCAACGAUCUGUAGCUGGUCUGAGAGGACGACCAGCCACACUGGGACUGAGACACGGCCCAGACUCCUACGGGAGGCAGCAGUGGGGAAUUUUGGACAAUGGGCGCAAGCCUGAUCCAGCAAUGCCGCGUGCAGGAAGAAGGCCUUCGGGUUGUAAACUGCCUUUGUACGGAACGAAACGGUCCUGGUUAAUACCUGGGGCUAAUGACGGUACCGUAAGAAUAAGCACCGGCUAACUACGUGCCAGCCGCCGCCGUAACAC